rnacentral:lncRNA from 1 species
GUUUCUUGGAGCAGACAUUUCCUCUUACUUAUCCCCUCUUACAAUCCCCACACAGGGCUGGCCACGUUUAGUAUGUGGGAGCUGAAUUAAGUUUCCAAAUCUCAUGGCUCAUGUCUGUAAUCCCAAUAUUUUGGGAGGCCAAGGCGGGAGGAUCACCUGAGCCCAGAAAUUUGAGACCAGCCUGGGCAACAUGGGAAGACCCUGUCUCUACAAAAAUUUAAACGUUAAAAAUAUUUUUUAAUUAAAAUUUUGAAAUGUCUCCCCUUCCUAGACCCUGAACCUGUUCAGUUCUCAAGUUGACAUGUUCAGAGGCCUGGCUGGUAGAGCCCGGGCCUGGUCCCACAGAAUCAGCAUGGUCCUGAAACACAAGAGCACAGGAGGCAAAGCUGGAAGGGCCCUUAGAGAACCUCUAGUCCAAUAGCUUUCAAAUUGUAAUCCUAGGUACCCUGGGGUCCCAUGGUGGAACCUCAGAGAGCAGGAAAAGGGAAGGGCAGAGGCUCAUCAUGUCCCUCUUCUGUUCAAGACCCUACAUUUGGCUUUCCAUUUCACUCAACAGCAAUCCAAGGUCCUCUUCAUGGCCGGCAAGUCCCACCUGUUCUCACCCCGGCUGCCCCUACCUCAUCUCAGCCACGCUGGCCUCCUUCGUAUCCCUGAAUGCACCAAGCAGGCUCUUAUCCGACACCUGGGCAGGUCUUCUUCCUUCUGCUGGAAACACUCUUCCCCAAAUAGCUGCAUCCCUUGCUUCCUCUUGUCCUGACCACCCUAUCAAAAAAGGCAUCCUGUUCCAUCAGCCCAGCCCCUUCCUGUACUGUACUGACUGUCCCUACUGAAAUAUAGGCUCCACGAAGGGGAGGACUUUGUUUUUUUUUCACUGCUAUGUCCCCAGCACCAAGAACAACAGUGGCUGGCACAUAGUAGGUGCUCAAUAAAUAAUGAUUUCCUGAUUUAAUCAGAUUGGUUUUGAGUCUAAAGUUAUUUUGUACGUUUUCUUCUUUACACAUUUCUCUAUUUUUCAAAUUUUCUGCAGUAAAUAUGCAUGUUUUUACCAUCAGAAAAAGCAGUAAAUGACAUAGUCUUUUCUCUAGGACCAAUCUUUGGGAGACUCAGAGCUGCUAGAGAAUAAUUUAAGAAGAUGAAGGGAGGCCCUGCCUUGAGCCCCUGGUUCUGAGCAGCACCAGGUUGCUAUGAAGUCACAACUUCAUCAAAAUGCAUUCCAUGACCUCACUGACAGGUUCAAAUUGCACCAUGAGACAUGCACUGGCACCAUGAACCUAUCAGAUAAAGUGUCCUGAGGGCUGCAGUCUUGCAUUUAUUUAUUUGAUGAACAUACCUCUACCUCAUCAGACAAUGAGCUCCAUGAUGUCAUCGUGGAGGGAUUUUAUCUGUUUCUAGUCGCUUUUGCUUCCCCAGUGCCUAGAUGCCUAAUUCAUAUUUGUUGAAGGGAAAUGGGGUAGGGUAGAGGAGGAGGGAGGAAGAAAUUUCUAUCGCUUUCUACAGUUAAAAUGGAGAGAAUCUAAAGAACUUUCCCAAGGACACAGAGAUAGUAAGUGACACAGCAGGACACUGAACCCAAGUUUCCAAGGCACGUUUCUUUUCCACCCUAUCAUAACUUUCUUCUAGGGCCUUGGCAGGCCUCUGUGUGCUGUGAUAAUCACACCCUGAAGAUUAUUAUGACAUUGGAGGCAUGCCCGGUCUGGCUCCAGACAAGGUGGUGCAUGCAAUAUCAUGGAGCUGCAGCAGUGUCACUUAGCCACAUGUAGGGCAGAAUGAUGCUAGGCAUACCCUGACAGAUCUCUGGGUGACAUAAAGAUGACUUCGACUUGGCGCUAUCCAGGUGGAUUCCUGGGGGCGCCACAACUAGACUUAGCAGGAGUAUAAGAUUUAGGAUAAUCAGCCUGCUAGAAGAAGAAAAGCAACCAUCUAUUGUGCCCUUAUCAUAUGCAAAACUCUUUAAUGACACUAUUUGGUUGAUUCUGACAUAAGACCUUCUAAAGAGAUACUAUUUCCCCCAUUUUACAGAUGAUGAAACUGAGGUCUGGAGACCGAGUUGCCCAGAGUCACACAACUGUCAGUAGUCAUGGAGGAAUUAGCUUUGAA